rfam:Methanococcus aeolicus Nankai-3, complete genome.
GCGCCAGUGGUGUAGUCUGGUAUCACUUUGGCCUUCCAAGCCAAUAAGCUGGGUUCGAAUCCCAGCUGGCGCA